UCCGUAGGGUGCAAGCGUUAAUCGGAAUUGCUGGGCGUAAAGCGUGCGUAGGCGGUUAUGUAAGACCGGUGCGAAAUCCCCGGGCUUAACCUGGGAACUGCAUUUGUGACUGCAUAGCUAGAGUACGGUAGAGGGGGAUGGAAUUCCGCGUGUAGCAGUGAAAUGCGUAGAUAUGCGGAGGAACACCGAUGGCGAAGGCAAUCCCCUGGACCUGUACUGACGCUCAUGCACGAAAGCGUGGGGAGCAAACAGG
rnacentral:rRNA from 1 species